GACAACUGCAACUUUUACCUCAACUUCUAUGGCUUCAGUGACAUCAACAACUAGAUUUGGAACAGUGGUGGUUUUUGUUAGACUGAUGUUCCAGCUCAACACACCAGUCCCCACUGAGGAUGAUGUCCUUGGUGCCUUCAACAAGCAACUGUAUCAUCAAUUCAACAAUCAGACAAACACUCAAACCACCUUCCAGAAUGGAACUUAUAUCAAACUUACAGAUACUUCAUUUGCCAUCGAUCUUGGUUUCAAAAUAACCAAUGUAACCAUGGAGUCGCGAAGUAACAGAAUCACAUUCA